rnacentral:rRNA from 1 species
ACGAACCGUGCGAACGUUAUUCGGAAUCACUGGGCUUAAAGCGCGUGUAGGCGGAUGGGAACGUCGGUUGUUGAAAGCCCCCGGCUCAACCGGGGAACUGGCACCGAAACGACCCGUCUGGAGGGACGUAGGGGGACCUGGAACUUCCGGUGGAGCGGUGAAAUGCGUUGAGAUCGGAAGGAACGCCCGUGGCGAAAGCGAGGUCCUGGACGUCUACUGACGCUGAGACGCGAAAGCUAGGGGAGCGAACGGGAUUAGAUACCCCGGUAGUCCUAGCUGUAAACGAUGGGCACUGGGUAGGGGGCUCGCCGAUGGGCUCUCUGCCGCAGGGAAACCGUGAAGUGCCCCGCCUGGGGAGUAUGGUCGCAAGGCUG